GACGGAGGAUGCAAGCGUUAUCCGGAAUCGAUGUGGCGUAAAGCGUCUGUAGGUGGUUUAAUAAGUCAACUGUUAAAUCUUGAGGCUCAACCUCAAAAUCGCAGUCGAAACUAUUAGGCUAGAGUAUAGUAGGGGUAAAGGGAAUUUCCAGUGGAGCGGUGAAAUGCGUAGAGAUUGGAAAGAACACCGAUGGCGAAGGCACUUUACUGGGCUAUUACUAACACUCAGAGACGAAAGCUAGGGUAGCAAAUGGG
rnacentral:rRNA from 1 species